GAUGAACGCUGGCGGCGUGCCUAAUACAUGCAAGUCGAGCGAACAGAUGAGGAGCUUGCUCCUCUGACGUUAGCGGCGGACGGGUGAGUAACACGUGGAUAACCUACCUAUAAGACUGGGAUAACUUCGGGAAACCGGAGCUAAUACCGGAUAAUAUAUUGAACCGCAUGGUUCAAUAGUGAAAGACGGUUUUGCUGUCACUUAUAGAUGGAUCCGCGCCGCAUUAGCUAGUUGGUAAGGUAACGGCUUACCAAGGCAACGAUGCGUAGCCGACCUGAGAGGGUGGUCGGCCACACUGGAACUGAGACACGGUCCAGACUCCUACGGGAGGCAGCAGUAGGGAAUCUUCCGCAAUGGGCGAAAGCAUGACGGAGCAACGCCGCGUGAGUGAUGAAGGUCUUCGGAUCGUAAAACUCUGUUAUUAGGGAAGAACAAAUGUGUAAGUAACUAUGCACGUCUUGACGGUACCUAAUCAGAAAGCCACGGCUAACUACGUG
rnacentral:rRNA from 1 species